AUGCGCGAGUCAAACAAGGCUAAUGAGCACAAUCCAGUGACAGGCGUCAAAGGCAAUCUAACAAUGCUUGGAUCAUCUUGAUCCAUUCCUAACCUUCUACGUUGGUUUAGGAUUACCAGUAAUCCAAUUCAAACCGUCACUCUUGGAACAGGAUGCAAUGUCACAGUCAUCAUACGACCAAUAGAAACAAUCUCGAAUUGCUUUCUCGAUUGGCUUUCACGCGUUUCAAAAAGUUUAGUGGCCCUUUCACCCUUCCAUUUUUUUCUGUUUGCGGCCUUCAAACGAAAAAAUUUCCGGCCCCCUGUUUUCGACCAAGUGGGAGAGGCUGGAAGCAACAAACAGAGAAAGUGCAAGAAGGAAAGAACAGGAUUUGGCAGACUGUGGGCAGCUUAGGGAUACCUGUACCUGUGUCUGCGUGUGUGGAAGGGGGAUGGUAAGCUGAGGGACAAGGGAGGAUGCUUGCCGGUUCUGACGCAGCACUCUUCCUCAGCUCACCCCGUAUGCUUAUUGUGCACGCGUGCAUGCGUCACAGAGGGCCGAGGGCUGCAGGCACUGCAGCAGACACCCAAGCCAGACCAGUGGGAUGCUGUGGUUCAGUGAUGUUUCCAAGGUCACUUUGCAGCAACGCAAUGAAUCAUUCCUUGAACCUGAUGACCUAGACCGAGUUAUGAAAGUGGAGGCUGAAGCACUGCACGCUGCCCAUCCCCCUCAGCCGCAUCUUCUACAUCAAUUGCUGCAGAAAGGACCCAUGAUGGUUCUUCGGUCCUCCCUCCCUCCUCUCAGCCAUUCCACCAAUCGCAGCGCAGCUUCACCUCAGCCUUCCAAAGCGCAGGUGUCACACACUGCGUCCCAGGCCUGGCCACUACCGACCUCAUGCUACCUAUAGUUGUUGUGAGCGUAUUCAGGUCCUGGCUUUAGUUAGUUGCACAAUAAUGUAAGCACCAGUUACAAAGCCUUGAUCAAUUUUUUAAAAAGUAUGGAAGGAUUUUUUUACUCAGGUUCUAGCAAGAAUUGACUUGAUAUAUUAUUGAGUAAAAACUGCAUUGAUGGUUCCAAGGAAUGGCGGCUCCAGGAUUCUUUUCCUCCUGGGGCGAAAGGGGUCUUGACCAA